AGCGAACGCUGGCGGCAGGCCUAACACAUGCAAGUCGAACGAACUCUUCGGAGUUAGUGGCGGACGGGUGAGUAACACGUGGGAACGUGCCUUUAGGUUCGGAAUAACUCAGGGAAACUUGUGCUAAUACUGAAUGUGCCCUUCGGGGGAAAGAUUUAUCGCCUUUAGAGCGGCCCGCGUCUGAUUAGCUAGUUGGUGAGGUAAAGGCUCACCAAGGCGACGAUCAGUAGCUGGUCUGAGAGGAUAAUCAGCCACAUUGGGACUGAGACACGGCCCAAACUCCUACGGGAGGCAGCAGUGGGGAAUCUUGCGCAAUGGGCGAAAGCCUGACGCAGCCAUGCCGCGUGAAUGAUGAAGGUCUUAGGAUUGUAAAAUUCUUUCACCGGGGACGAUAAUGACGGUACCCGGAGAGGAAGCCCCGGCUAACUUCGUGCCAGCCGCCGCGGUAA
rnacentral:rRNA from 1 species